UAGGGAAUCUUCGGCAAUGGACGGAAGUCUGACCGAGCAACGCCGCGUGAGUGAAGAAGGUUUUCGGAUCGUAAAGCUCUGUUGUAAGAGAAGAACGAGUGUGAGAGUGGAAAGUUCACACUGUGACGGUAUCUUACCAGAAAGGGACGGCUAACUACGUGCCAGCAGCCGCGGUAAUACGUAGGUCCCGAGCGUUGUCCGGAUUUAUUGGGCGUAAAGCGAGCGCAGGCGGUUAGAUAAGUCUGAAGUUAAAGGCUGUGGCUUAACCAUAGUACGCUUUGGAAACUGUUUAACUUGAGUGCAAGAGGGGAGAGUGGAAUUCCAUGUGUAGCGGUGAAAUGCGUAGAUAUAUGGAGGAACACCGGUGGCGAAAGCGGCUCUCUGGUCUGUAACUGACGCUGAGGCUCGAAAGCGUGGGGAGCGAACAGGAUUAGAUACCCUGGUAGUCCACGCCGUAAACGAUGAGUGCUAGGUGUUAGGCCCUUUCCGGGGCUUAGUGCCGCAGCUAACGCAUUAAGCACUCCGCCUGGGGAGUACGACCGCAAGGUUG
rnacentral:rRNA from 1 species